rnacentral:rRNA from 1 species
AAAUGAAUAGACGGGGACCCGCACAAGCGGUGGAGUAUGUGGCUUAAUUCGAUGCAACGCGAAGAACCUUACCUGGGCUUGACAUGGAUUUCUAAGCACGUGAAAGCGUGUGACCCUUCGGGGAACUUCCACAGGUGCUGCAUGGCCGUCGUCAGCUCGUGUCGUGAGAUGUUGGGUUAAGUCCCGCAACGAGCGCAACCCUUGUGAUCAGUUGCCAGCGCGUCAUGGCGGGAACUCUGGUCAGACUGCCCAGAUCAACUGGGAGGAAGGUGGGGACGACGUCAGGUCAGUAUGGCCCUUACGCCCAGGGCUGCACACGUACUACAAUGCCCAGUACAAUGAGAACCGAUGCCGCGAGGUGGAGGAAAUCUGUAAAACUGGGCCCAGUUCGGAUUGGAGGCUGCAACUCGCCUCCAUGAAGUUGGAAUCGCUAGUAAUGGCGCAUCAUCUACGGCGCCGUGAAUACGUUCCCGGGUCUUGUACACACCGCCCGU